GAUGAACGCUAGCUACAGGCUUAACACAUGCAAGUCGAGGGGCAGCAUUGGGAUAGCUUGCUAUUCCAGAUGGCGACCGGCGCACGGGUGAGUAACGCGUAUCCAACCUUCCCUAUAGUAGAGAAUAGCCCGGCGAAAGUCGAAUUAAUGCUCUAUGUUGUGUUUUGAGGACAUCUGACGAACACCAAAGGUUCACCGCUAUAGGAUGGGGAUGCGUCUGAUUAGCUUGUUGGCGGGGUAACGGCCCACCAAGGCGACGAUCAGUAGGGGUUCUGAGAGGAAGGUCCCCCACAUUGGUACUGAGACACGGACCAAACUCC
rnacentral:rRNA from 1 species